UGGCUUCGGGCAAAUAUGCUGCACAAGC
rnacentral:sRNA from 1 species